AUUGAACGCUGGCGGCAGGCUUAACACAUGCAAGUCGAGCGAGCGGCGGACGGGUGAGUAAUGCUUGGGCCUCUAGCUUAUGGAGGGGGAUAACUACGGGAAACUGUAGCUAAUACCGCGUACCAUAGGAUGAGCCCAAGUGGGUUUAGGUAGGUGGUGGGGUAAAGGCUCACCAAGCCGACGAUCUCUAUCUGGUCUGAGAGGAUGACCAGCCACACUGGAACGGAGACACGGCCCAGACUCCUACGGGAGGCAGCAGUGGGGAAUAUUGCACAAUGGGGGAAAGCCUGACGCAGCCAUGCCGCGUGAAUGAAGAAGGCCUUCGGGUUGUAAAGUACUUUCAGUCGGGAGGCGUUACCGACAGAAGAAGCACCGGCUAACUCCGUGCCAGCAGCCGCGGUAAUUC
rnacentral:rRNA from 1 species